GAUGAACGCUGGCGGCAUGCCUAACACAUGCAAGUCGAACGGCAGCACGGGGGCAACCCUGGUGGCGAGUGGCGGACGGGUGAGGAAUGCAUAGGAAUCUGCCCAGUUGUGGGGGAUAACGUAGGGAAACUUACGCUAAUACCGCAUACGACCUACGGGUGAAAGAGGGGGACCUUCGGGCCUCUCGCGAUUGGAUGAGCCUAUGCCGGAUUAGCUAGUUGGCGGGGUAAGAGCCCACCAAGGCGACGAUCCGUAGCUGGUCUGAGAGGAUGAUCAGCCACACUGGAACUGAGACACGGUCCAGACUCCUACGGGAGGCAGCAGUGGGGAAUAUUGGACAAUGGGCGCAAGCCUGAUCCAGCAAUGCCGCGUGUGUGAAGAAGGCCUUCGGGUUGUAAAGCACUUUUGUUUGGGAAGAAAUCCGGUUGGUUAAUACCUGAUCGGGAUGACGGUACCAAAAGAAUAAGCACCGGCUAACUUCGUG
rnacentral:rRNA from 1 species